GAUGUCAUAGAUGGGUGACAAUGAAUUAACCGUAUAAAGGAAAGUGGGGGGAAAUGAGGAUUCUGAACAACGAUGAAAGACCAAGGGGUGAAAGACCGCACGGCAGAUUUAUAUAAAUGUGUUCGGUACGGCUAAAGGAGAGUUAGAGGGAGGGAGGAAACUGGAUACGAGCACAGGCCAGGUCACAUAAUACUUCAAAGGAUCCUGGUCAUUAUCCCAAGACAAAUUAGAACUCUUCAUAAAGAUGUUAAGGUAACUGAUACGGUCAGAAUUGCAUCUGUGUGAAGUCACUGGCAGCAAUAUGAAGAACGGGGAGGAGAAGAGCAAGAGGAAAGACCACCAGACAGGUUCCAAUUGUAAUGGUCUCAGCUUGAGAGAUGAGGACCUGAGAACAGAUCACAAGCACGUUUUCCUUCAAAUCUUCUCCGGGGAGCUCAGCUUAACCAAACCGUGCAAACAAUUGCAUCCAUCACCAGCCACAGAAAUCCUCAGGAAGAUACCCAGACUAUGAAAGACUGAGGUUGGGAACAGGUGGAGGGUACAUUACCUGCAAAACAAGUAGGCCUUUGCAUCAAGAACCUGAAUUUGCAUCAAGAACCUUAACACAGAUGAGACACGGAUGAGCUAUUCUCCAGGGCCACGUACCCUACCUCACAACCUUCCCCGCCACCCUGAAAGUCAUCUCAGGAGCCUUUCCGGGGGAAAAAAGGGAGACAUUACCAAGAACAAGUCAUGAGGAGGAUUUCACUGAGGAGGAACAUCUAGAAAUCACAGACCUGAGAAAGAAUCUCCAGAUGGAAGUUGCUAGAAUUUCAAAGUAGUGUUUCCACACUAGAGACAUGACAUGCUUAAGGGCCAUGGAACAAGGAUGCUUUGUAACUUCUUGCCUCCACAUCUGCCUCAUAUAAUGGCCGACUCUGAGAGGAGGAGAGUGUGUUGUUUAGAAGCAUGGGCUCUGCCAUCAUAUUCCCCAGGUCCUGCCUCUUGUUAGCUCAGAGCUUGAGCAAAUGACUUACCUCUCUAUGACUGAGUUUCUUCAUCUGUUAAAAUGGGGACAGGGAUGGUGAUGAUGAUAUCAUCUGUUCUAUAGGAUUGCUAUGAAAAAAUAAAAGAUUAGUAUUUGUAAAGCACUUACAGCAUCUGGCACAUAUUUGUUAAAUAAGAAUGACACAAUGUUAUAGGCACUGUGGCUCUUCUUAAUUUCCUGAAGAAACAGCUGUUCACAAAACUUUGUGAAAGCUUAAAUGUAGCUGAAGUUGACCAAAAAAUAUGGUGUGAAAAAUUUUGCUUCUCCUACUCAUCAGCCCCUUCACUAUAGAGGUGUGUCUAUUCAGUGCUCACAGAAGUCCUAUAUUUCAGUGGCCUGUUCUGGAUGUCCAAACUUCUAAUGAGAAAUAAUACCUUAUUUAGGUUAAAAAGAAGAUGGACUGAUAUUAGGUGUCUGCUUUCUAGAUGACUGUUAGGACAUUCUUUGUGUUCAACAAAAUAUUCUCACAAGAAGAGAUGCUUUAAAAAACACAUCACAGGAGAAAUUGAGUUAGAUUUCAGAAAUGUAAAUAUGGUGAAAAUUGUCUGGAUUCACAGGAAAUUGGUGACUUUCUGAAUGCAAGAAAAUGAUAUGAAAUUCAUUGACAAUGUAUAUUUAUACUUCACAUUUUCAGAUUUUAAUAUUACAGCUAUUAGAAAUGCAUCCAGUUUUUAUUUAUGCAAGAGCUGAUUAGCCAGAUCUGAUAUUUUACAAGUUUUUUAUUGCUGUUUCCUUCCCACUCUAAACCUGCAAUUUUCUGCAUUUUGAUCAAUUACAAAGCAUGUGAAACUGGUUUCUUUAAUAUGGUAGAUUUCCAACACAGACAGUAUAGCUCCUCACUUUCUCUUUUGUGGGAAGAUACAGGACUAAAAGGCCACAUCUUCUGGGUGGCUUCCAUAUUCUCUGGAUUUGUUUAUAGCUUUGGGUUGAACACUCUGACCAAGUAAUUUCAUAUUCUUGCCUGCUGUGUCAUGAUUUAGUAUCCCAACAAAGUUGAAGGUGUUACUUCCUCAUAUUACCACUCACAGGAUUUGGGGGCCUGAUACCAGCUUUAAACACCAGCUUCAGCGUAGAAGUAUACUUGUAGGACUUUGGGUGGGACUUCAAAUACUGAAAGAGGAAAGGAAAAUUUGCAUGCUGUGGGUAGCCACUGAAGUACCCAUGGUGAGUUGACAUUCAAGCUUUCAGACUUUGAUUAAAAGGCUAGGAAGGAAGCGAUAGAUGAUAAGGCUACAAUCAACUUAUAAUUGGGUAUUUUAUGUGUUUGGUUUUUUUUUUUAAUACUUUACCUUAUUAAAAAAAUACUUUACCUUAUUCCCAAAAGUCAAGCAGUUAUGUGAUUCCUCUUCCAGGACAGUGUCAGGAACUCUCAUUUCUUUUCUUUCUCCUCUGCCUGUUCAGGCCGUGCUUAACUCUAAUAAUUUCUUUUCAAACUCGAGUUGCUUAGGCAACUACACUCUUUGCUCUCUAACUUGACCCCAUUUCCUGAUGAAUAGGCUUUUCAUUUUUUCACUAAGUCCUAAGACUUUCACAUUUUGCAAUUUUCUCUGCUAAAGAACUCUAGGCAUAACUGCUUAGAAAAUCAUAAGCAAUCAUAAAACCUUAGAUUUUUAAAGGAAAUUUAGAAAUCAUUUAAUCCAGCCGCCUCAUUUUACAGUUAAAGAAAUUGAGCCCCCCAAGAGGAGAUAUAACUUGUUCAAUGUCAUCCAGCUAAUUUGUAAACUGGGUAGAAUUUUUCCAAAGCUAAUUUUUUGAAUUGAUUAAAACUAUAACUAAGAUAAUUUUAAAUUUUUUUUAAAUUUAUUUAUGAUAGUCACACAGAGAGAGAGAGAGGCAGAGACAUAGGCAGAGGGAGAAGCAGGCUCCAUGCACCAGGAGCCCGACGUGGGAUUCGAUCCCGGGUCUCCAGGAUCGCGCCCUGGGCCAAAGGCAGGCACCAAACCACUGCGCCACCCAGGGAUCCCCAACUAAGAUCAUUUUAAAGGGCACAUACUUUUCCAUCUUGAUCCUUUUGAGUUUUCAUAGGAAUAUUAUUUAUAGAACCAAAUUUACAAAAUCAUGACUCCUAUUGUUAAGAAAACACUGUGAUGUGAGAAAUAGUUAAAUGAGGUUUGGUAUUACCAUGCUUUUUAAUUGAUCAUUUAUCAUAACAAUAGUCUCAGAUGUGGUGGUUAAUUGAAGGUUGACUAGGUCCAAGGUGAUUGAUUUGCUUUACCUUUUAUUUUGGUGGGGGAGAGAGUUGAGAGAAAAUGGACCAACACAUGUAGAGAGAAAUAAUCUUAACAUGGACAUCAGGUUAGGGUAAAAAUCUAUUGUCAUUAUUGUUAAUAAAAUAUCACACUUUGUGUCCACAAGAUCAUAACUCUAGUUUGAAUAUGAAGACCAGAUAAGAAAUUAUAAAUUAUUUUUGUGUCUAUAAUUUGUAUCUAGCUAGAGCCAAAGAUUAAAGGUCUGUGUCUUCCCACGCUCUCUCUAUUGCCUGCUCAUUCCAGUUAGUGAGUUCUCCAACAUGGCCACAAAGAACUUAUAGUCUUUUUUUUUUAAGAAUUUUUUUUUUUUUAGGAUUUUAUUUAUUUAUUCAUGGGAGACACAGAGACAGAGAGGCAGAGACAUAGGUAGAGGAAGAAGCAGGCUCCCUGAAGGAAGCCCAAUGUGGGACUCAAUCCUGGGACUCCAGGAUCACACCCUGAGCCGAAGGCAGAUGCUCAACCGCUGAGCCACCGAGGCAUCCCAAGAACUUAUAGUCUUUGAAGAGCCACUUAUAGUCUUUUAUGCCACUCUGUGCAAGGCAGUGUAUCUCACAAACAGGCCUACCCCUAACAUUUGUGAGCCUGAGGUGAAUAUGAAAAUGGUUAUCUCUGACCCUCUCCCUAUCAUAAUGGAUCACAUAACCCUUCUGUCUGUAAUGACCUCAUCAAAGAAACUUGUGUAUAAUUGUGUAGAAUUCACCAAGCUUCACUACAUAUCCAAGCUCUCUCCACAAGUCCAAACACAAAUUGUACAAGUAACGCAGUCUGCUCUUAAGAGGAUAGAGAGGAUCAGAAGCCCAAGCAAGCACCUGAAGGAGACUCAGACUUCACAAGCGGGGAAUUCUAGGUUUUCUGGGUAAAGAGAGCUUGGUCUAGAAGAAGGAGAACAUGUUUCAGGAGGUGACAGACCUGUCACCUUAUGGGAAAGAGAAAGAUAAGGGAGGGCCAGAAUAGAACCUAAAGUAUUGGACCCAGGAAAGAAGUCUUGGUUGAUUGAAUCAAAAACAGUACUGCUGACAAGAACACUGGCAUAGAACCCUUCUAUAGACAUUGUCUCU